UACGAAGGGGGCUAGCGUUGCUCGGAAUCACUGGGCGUAAAGGGUGCGUAGGCGGGUCUUUAAGUCAGGGGUGAAAUCCUGGAGCUCAACUCCAGAACUGCCUUUGAUACUGAGGAUCUUGAGUAUGGGAGAGGUGAGUGGAACUGCGAGUGUAGAGGUGAAAUUCGUAGAUAUUCGCAAGAACACCAGUGGCGAAGGCGGCUCACUGGCCCAUUACUGACGCUGAGGCACGAAGCGUGGGAGCAAACAGG
rnacentral:rRNA from 1 species